AUGCCAGAGAAAAUGAUACAGAAUAAUCUGCUUAACUUAUUUAAUCUUUCAGGCACACCAAAUGGAUGCACACCAAGACUGAACAUGCUCCACUUGCAAAAUGGAGUGUAUCGAACCAUUGGCAGGAUGAUAUCUACAAUAAUAGUGCAGUGUAGUGUAGUGGACUACAUUGUGUCUGGGGACAUCCUUCAAGUUCACGUGCCACCUGAUGACAUAGGUGACCCUGAUUUAAGGGAAAACCUCAAUAAGGUUCAACAAGCAACCUUGCAGGAUGAUUUGGAGAAAGCAGUCAGCUGCUGUGACUCAUGGCGAUAUCAAGUAGAAGGGCUUCCACUCGUAGUCACCAUGGCCAACAGAGAUGUGUUUGUGAAAAAUGCAGUUCUAUACCAUACUGUUGUGCAACGGCAGAGCUGUCUUGAUCAACUCACUGAUGGCUUGUCUCACUAUGGAGUUUUAUCACUCCUGAGAGAGAACCCCAGCUUGCGUGUGCUGCUUAACAUACCAGGAGAGAACAAAGGUCAAGAAGCUGAUUUUGUAGCUGGUAUUCUCAAACCAAGCUACUCCGUACUGGGGAGCAACAGAAGAGCUAAGGAGGAGUUGAUAGUGGUCAAAUUUAGGGAGUUUCUCCAAUGUGUUGAAAGUAAGUACCGGUAUGUAUUUGUAAUUCAGUACAUUAUACAACAAGGCAAUCCAGGAAAUUUACAGAUUAAUUUUAUUCUUUACAACUCAUGAACCUAUGCCUGUCAAAUGUUUAUGUACCACCAACAAGAAUACAGUUGUUAUCUGAUGCUUUAAAGAAUAAAAUUGCUUUUUCACCAAAAUACUUAUACAGUCCAUAACAAUCCAUUAGUCACUCAAUUAUUCAUUGAUUCAGGCUUUCUUAAACCUGAGUAUUUUCCAGUCUCCAAGUCAACAAUGGUUUCCCUUUGAUUGUAGAUAAAGAGCUGAGAUACACUUAUGGGGACAGGACAGGAUGAUGAGGAGGCAUUCCUGAAGACUUUGAGCCCUGGUCACAUCCUGUUUUCUUACAAAAAAUGUUUACAUCUGUGAGGACUAUCUGACCCUUCUUUAUACUGUAAGAUGUUGUACUGUAUGAUUGGAAGGAUAUGGAAAUCAGUCAUCGCAGUAAUAAUAAAUUAAUAAAUGUAGUUACUUUAACCCUGUGAUGUGUUUUUUUUAACAAUGAUUGUAUGAAUUUAACUACAAUCGUUUUUUUUUUUUUUUUUACAUAUACUGAAUCAGUAGUGAAGGAAUAAAAUAUGUACAUUUACUAUAGUAAGGUACUUCUGUAGAAAUUUGAACUACUUUUCACAUUUAAAUUUUGAAUUCCCCUCCUCACCAUUGAAAGGCUUGUAUAUUCAGAUUUAUUGCUGUUGAAUAUUUUGUGCUAAACUGAAGAUUGUAUUUUCAUAUGUUGAAAAAAAUUCACUUCACUUGACAAAACCUUUUGGAUUAGCUGCAAAAUGCAAAAAUGUUUUUUUCUUACCUUUAUGUACAGCCAUCUUCUCAGAAAUACAUAACAAAGAUACAAGUUAUGUAUGUAAUACACAAGAUAUUAUAAAACACUGACAGUUAUCUUUUUACUUCACUGAGUACUUUUACUUUGCAUAUUUAGGUACUUUAAAAUCAGGAACAAUGUAGUGGAAGACAGUUAUGCAUCAAUACAUCUAUAGAGCCCUGAAAAGCAUGUCACUGUUCCUUCACAUAACAUGAGUCCUCUUGUAUUUAUCCACACUACCAUUGCUUUAGACUUGACAGAAAACUAACAGAUGUAAAAGUAUGUCUGUAGCCUUUUUAACACUGACAUCAUAUAAGUGCCAUCAUGUAAUUUUCUAAAAUCUAUAUGCUGACAAGAGGCUGUAAAUCUUGUAGUUCAAGAAGCACAACAAAACAUCAGUAUUUGUUUCACAGUGUACUUUUGAAAGUCCAAUAAGGCUAAUGUUACCCAGUUGUCCAUGUCAUGCUAAGAUCACACAUUUACAAGUUUUUCAAAAAUAAA
rnacentral:lncRNA from 1 species